rnacentral:miRNA from 1 species
UAGCAGACACAUUCCAGCCAAUCAGCAGCAGACCCUCCCUCCCAGACCCUCCCACCUCCUGGACAGCAUCCAUUUUACAUUCAUUGUGAAGCUGCAUUCUUAGUGAGCUGUCCAGGAGGUGGGAGGGUCUGGGAGGGAGGGUCUGCUGAUGAUUGGCUGGAAUGUGUCUGCUG